AAUGAACGCUGGCGGCAUGCCUAACACAUGCAAGUCGAACGAAGGCUUCGGCCUUAGUGGCGCACGGGUGCGUAACGCGUGGGAAUCUACCCUUAGGUUCGGAAUAACUCAGAGAAAUUUGAGCUAAUACCGGAUAAUGUCUUCGGACCAAAGAUUUAUCGCCUUUGGAUGAGCCCGCGUAGGAUUAGCUAGUUGGUAAGGUAAAGGCUUACCAAGGCGACGAUCCUUAGCUGGUCUGAGAGGAUGAUCAGCCACACUGGGACUGAGACACGGCCCAGACUCCUACGGGAGGCAGCAGUGGGGAAUAUUGGACAAUGGGCGAAAGCCUGAUCCAGCAAUGCCGCGUGAGUGAUGAAGGCCUUCGGGUCGUAAAGCUCUUUUACCCGGGAUGAUAAUGACAGUACCGGGAGAAUAAGCUCCGGCUAACUCCGUGCCAGCCGCCGCAGUAA
rnacentral:rRNA from 1 species